rnacentral:rRNA from 1 species
GAUGAACGCUGGCGGCGUGCCUAAUACAUGCAAGUCGAACGAAACUUCUUUAUCACCGAGUGCUUGCACUCACCGAUAAAGAGUUGAGUGGCGAACGGGUGAGUAACACGUGGGCAACCUGCCCAAAAGAGGGGGAUAACACUUGGAAACAGGUGCUAAUACCGCAUAACCAUAGUUACCGCAUGGUAACUAUGUAAAAGGUGGCUGUACUACCGCUUUUGGAUGGGCCCGCGGCGCAUUAGCUAGUUGGUAGGGUAAAGGCUUACCAAGGCAAUGAUGCGUAGCCGAAUUGAGAGGUUGAUCGGCCACAUUGGGACUGAGACACGGCCCAAACUCCUACGGGAGGCAGCAGUAGGGAAUCUUCCACAAUGGGCGAAAGCCUGAUGGAGCAACGCCGCGUGGGUGAAGAAGGUCUUCGGAUCGUAAAACCCUGUUGUUAGAGAAGAAAGUGCGUGAGAGUAACUGUUCACGUUUCGACGGUAUCUAACCAGAAAGCCACGGCUAACUACGUG